UGUUUACUGACUCAUCAGAGUCUGAUGGCGACUCUGUCUGAGAACAUGUUGACAGUCAACAUGUUACUGAGUGUCUUCUUUCUUCCAGGUGUUAAUGCUGAGCGAUGUGGUGGUCAUACAGCUGACUUUGUCAUUAAAACACCAAAUCCCAUUGAAGCACUGAGUGGAUCGUGUUUGCAUGUCCCAUGUAGCUUCACAUUUCAACAAAGAGAAAACAAAUUUAACAAUGGA